GCCUGAGUGGCUCAGUGGUUGAGUGUCUGCCUUUGGCUCAGGUCAUGAUUCCCGGGUCUUGGGAUCGAGUCCCACAUCAGGCU
rnacentral:tRNA from 1 species